UACGGAGGGUGCGAGCGUUGUUCGGAAUCACUGGGCGUAAAGCGCGUGUAGGCGGCUCGAUAAGUCUGGUGUGAAAGCCCGGGGCUCACCCCCGGAAGUGCACUGGAUACUGCCGAGCUCGAGUUCCGGAGAGGAAAGUGGAAUUCCUGGUGUAGCGGUGAAAUGCGUAGAUAUCAGGAGGAACACCGGUGGCGAAGGCGGCUUUCUGGACGGUAACUGACGCUGAGACGCGAAAGCGUGGGUAGCAAACAGG
rnacentral:rRNA from 1 species